rnacentral:rRNA from 1 species
GACAGAGGGUGCAAACGUUGUUCGGAAUUACUGGGCGUAAAGCGCGUGUAGGCUGCUUGGAAAGUCGGGUGUGAAAGCCCUGAGCUCAACUCAGGAAGUGCACUCGAAACUUCCAAGCUCGAGUCCUGGAGAGGGUGGCGGAAUUCUCGGUGUAGAGGUGAAAUUCGUAGAUAUCGAGAGGAACACCUGUGGCGAAGGCGGCCACCUGGACAGUGACUGACGCUGAGACGCGAAAGCGUGGGGAGCAAACAGG